AGAGUUUGAUCCUGGCUCAGAUUGAACGCUGGCGGCAUGCUUUACACAUGCAAGUCGAACGGCAGCAUGGGUGCUUGCACCUGAUGGCGAGUGGCGGACGGGUGAGUAAUGCAUCGGGACGUGUCUGUAAGAGGGGGAUAACUGUUCGAAAGAACAGCUAAUACCGCAUAAUAUCCGAGGAAGAAAGCUGGGGACCUUAGGGCCUGGCGCUUACAGGGCGACCGAUGUCUGAUUAGCUAGUUGGUAGGGUAAAAGCCUACCAAGGCGACGAUCAGUAGCUGGUCUGAGAGGACGACCAGCCACACUGGGACUGAGAAACGGCCCAGACUCCUACGGGAGGCAGCAGUGGGGAAUUUUGGACAAUGGGGGCAACCCUGAUCCAGCAAUGCCGCGUGUCUGAAGAAGGCCUUCGGGUUGUAAAGGACUUUUGUUGGGGAGCAAGGUGCACAGGUUAAGAGCUAGUGUACUUGAGAGUACCCAAAGAAUAAGGACCGGCUAACUACGUGCCAGCAGCCGCGGUAAUACGUAGGGUCCAAGCGUUAAUCGGAAUUACUGGGCGUAAAGAGUGCGCAGGCGGCUUUGUAAGCUUGAUGUGAAAUCCCCGGGCUCAACCUGGGAACUGCAUUGAGGACUGCAAGGCUAGAGUGUAGCAGAGGGGGGUAGAAUUCCACGUGUAGCGGUGAAAUGCGUAGA
rnacentral:rRNA from 1 species